rnacentral:rRNA from 1 species
CCUACGGGAGGCUGCAGUGAGGAAUAUUGGUCAAUGGGCGUAAGCCUGAACCAGCCAAGUCGCGUGAGGGAUGAAGGUUCUAUGGAUCGUAAACCUCUUUUAUAAGGGAAUAAAGUGUGGGACGUGUCCUGUUUUGUAUGUACCUUAUGAAUAAGGAUCGGCUCACUCCGUUCCAGCAGCCGCGGUACUACGGAGGGUCCGAGAGUUAUCCGGAUUUGUUGGGUUUAAAGGGUACGUAGGCGGCCUUUUAAGUCAGCGGUGAAAGUCUGUGGCUCAACCAUAGAAUUGCCGUUGAAACUGGGCGGCGUGAGUAUGUUUGAGGCAGGUGGAAGGCGUGGUGUAGCGGUGAAAUGCUUAGAUAUCACGCAGAACACCGAUUGCGAAGGCAGCCGGCCAAGCAAUGACUGACGCUGAGGUACGAAAGCGUGGGGAUCAAACAGGAUUAGAUACCCUAGUAGUC